CUUAGAUCGUACCCACACUUACUUGGAUAACUGUGGUAAUUCUAGAGCUAAUACAUGCAAACAGAGCUCCGACCGGAGACGGAAGGAGUGCUUUUAUUAGAUCAAAACCAAUCGGUGGCGGGUUUGCGCUCGUCAUCGUACAACUUGGUGACUCUGAAUAACUUUACGCUGAUCGCACGGUCUUCGCACCGGCGACGCAUCUUUCAAAUGUCUGCCUUAUCAACUGUCGAUGGUAGGUUCUGCGCCUACCAUGGUUGUAACGGGUAACGGGGAAUCAGGGUUCGAUUCCGGAGAGGGAGCCUGAGAAACGGCUACCACAUCCAAGGAAGGCAGCAGGCGCGCAAAUUACCCACUCCCGGCACGGGGAGGUAGUGACGAAAAAUAACGAUACGGGACUCAUCCGAGGCCCCGUAAUCGGAAUGAGUACACUCUAAACCCUUUAACGAGGAUCAAUUGGAGGGCAAGUCUGGUGCCAGCAGCCGCGGUAAUUCCAGCUCCAAUAGCGUAUAUUAAAGUUGUUGCGGUUAAAAAGCUCGUAGUCGAAUUUGUGUCUCGUGCCGCCGGUUCAUCGUCCGCGGUGUUAACUGGCGAGUCGCGAGACGUCCUGCCGGUGGGCUUAGCUCGCAAGGGCGACGGCCCAACUCAAUCCUGCCGCGGUGCUCUUCAUCGAGUGUCGAGGUGGGCCGGCACGUUUACUUUGAACAAAUUAGAGUGCUUAAAGCAGGCUAAAACUUCGCCUGAAUACUGUGUGCAUGGAAUAAUGGAAUAGGACCUCGGUUCUAUUUUGUUGGUUUUCGGAACCCCGAGGUAAUGAUUAAUAGGAACGGAUGGGGGCAUUCGUAUUGCGACGUUAGAGGUGAAAUUCUUGGAUCGUCGCAAGACGGACAGAAGCGAAAGCAUUUGCCAAAAACGCUUUCAUUGAUCAAGAACGAAAGUUAGAGGUUCGAAGGCGAUCAGAUACCGCCCUAGUUCUAACCUUAAACGAUGCCAGCUAGCGAUCCGUCGACGUUCCUCCGAUGACUCGACGGGCAGCUUCCGGGAAACCAAAGCUUUUGGGUUCCGGGGGAAGUAUGGUUGCAAAGCUGAAACUUAAAGGAAUUGACGGAAGGGCACCACCAGGAGUGGAGCCUGCGGCUUAAUUUGACUCAACACGGGAAACCUCACCAGGCCCGGACACCGGAAGGAUUGACAGAUUGAGAGCUCUUUCUUGAUUCGGUGGGUGGUGGUGCAUGGCCGUUCUUAGUUGGUGGAGCGAUUUGUCUGGUUAAUUCCGAUAACGAACGAGACUCUAGCCUGCUAACUAGGCGUACGACAUCCUAAAGGCCCGCCAUCAUCGGGGUUUCGGCUCCGUUGUCGUGCGCGGUUUUUACUGUCUACGUACAUACAAUUCUUCUUAGAGGGACAGGCGGCUUCUAGCCGCACGAGAUUGAGCAAUAACAGGUCUGUGAUGCCCUUAGAUGUUCUGGGCCGCACGCGCGCUACACUGAAGGAAUCAGCGUGUCCUCCCUGGCCGAGUGGCCCGGGUAACCCGCUGAACCUCCUUCGUGCUAGG
rnacentral:rRNA from 1 species